UUUCUUUUUCACUGUACUUUUAGGGGGGAGAAACGAAGGCCCAGAAGUCUUGAACAUCAUUAGAGACAACACAUUCACAGGGAUUUGAGAGCAAAAGAAUUUUUGGUUUGAAUUUUCUUUGAAAACCCAGAAAAGGGAUAUAAGAAAAGAGAGACCUUGUUUCUUUUUUCUUUUUUAUUUUUUUAAUUUUUUUUGGGUUUGGGAUUGAAUAAUGGGAUCAUCUUCAGGGCAAGGCAGUGGCUUUGAUCUCUCAUUCAAG
rnacentral:misc_RNA from 1 species